rnacentral:lncRNA from 1 species
AUUAGUUUUUGCUUCAUGUGUUUCUUAUUUCACUUAAUUUAAAGAUUUCCAUACUGUCUUGUUCCUGAAAUAUAUUUCUCGAACUUCAUUAUGUAUAAUAAAUUCUAUCUCGUGGUUCUAUGUUUUUAAUAUACUUAAAGAUCAAAACUGAAGAAAAAUUUCAAUAUUACUGUGGAAUCUCGGAAUAAUGUGCAUCAGGUUUCUAUGCUUAGAUCGCGGUCGUGGAUGUGACUAAGAAUGGUGAUGAGACUUAAGACAAAAUUGACUCUGAAAUCAGCUGAAUAUAUAGAAACACGUUUAAUUACGAGAAAUUUCUUUACAUUCUUUACGUACAAUGGAAAUAGGAAGAUGUACAUUUGCUUUUCUUUUAUAAAUAGAAGGUGUUUUAAUAAGAAAACAAAUCAUUGUUCUGUCAUCUGGACUGGUUCGUCGACAUUUUCAAGACAUUUUCAUCUCUUGGAGAGUCACAGCACAUAGCUAUAUCGAUUUUGCAUUCAUGAAAUAUUAAUUCGUUCGACUUCUUCACAGCUCCAUUGGAGGGUCUCCAUACAUACAGUAUGGACAGACUUCUUAAUGUUCAGUGGUGAAGAAUUUUAUUUUCCAAUAUCAGGGAAUUUCUUAGUCUAUUGUCUCCGAAUUACUGCC